ACCAAUUCACGCGGGAGCGCGCGCCGAGCGUGCUGAGAGGACGGCUGGGGCCGUCGACCGUCUGAACCUGACCGGGUAAUGCCGGCGUAGGGAGAUGACCAUGACCGUGA
rnacentral:ncRNA from 1 species